GAUGAACGCUGGCGGCGUGCCUAAUACAUGCAAGUCGAGCGAACAGACGAGGAGCUUGCUCCUCUGACGUUAGCGGCGGACGGGUGAGUAACACGUGGAUAACCUACCUAUAAGACUGGGAUAACUUCGGGAAACCGGAGCUAAUACCGGAUAAUAUAUUGAACCGCAUGGUUCAAUAGUGAAAGACGGUUUUGCUGUCACUUAUAGAUGGAUCCGCGACGCAUUAGCUAGUUGGUAAGGUAACGGCUUACCAAGGCAACGAUGCGUAGCCGACCUGAGAGGGUGAUCGGCCACACUGGAAUUGAGACACGGUCCAGACUCCUACGGGAGGCAGCAGUAGGGAAUCUUCCGCAAUGGGCGAAAGCCUGCCGGAGCAACGCCGCGUGAGUGAUGAAGGUCUUCGGAUCGUAAAACUCUGUUAUUAGGGAAGAACAAAUGUGUAAGUAACUAUGCACGUAUUGACGGUACCUAAUCAGAAAGCCACGGCUAACUACGUG
rnacentral:rRNA from 1 species